rnacentral:rRNA from 1 species
AUUGAACGCUGGCGGCAGGCCUAACACAUGCAAGUCGAGCGGAUGAAGAGAGCUUGCUCUCUGAUUUAGCGGCGGACGGGUGAGUAAUGCCUAGGAAUCUGCCUGGUAGUGGGGGAUAACGUUCCGAAAGGAACGCUAAUACCGCAUACGUCCUACGGGAGAAAGCAGGGGACCUUCGGGCCUUGCGCUAUCAGAUGAGCCUAGGUCGGAUUAGCUAGUUGGUGAGGUAAUGGCUCACCAAGGCGACGAUCCGUAACUGGUCUGAGAGGAUGAUCAGUCACACUGGAACUGAGACACGGUCCAGACUCCUACGGGAGGCAGCAGUGGGGAAUAUUGGACAAUGGGCGAAAGCCUGAUCCAGCCAUGCCGCGUGUGUGAAGAAGGUCUUCGGAUUGUAAAGCACUUUAAGUUGGGAGGAAGGGCAGUAAGUUAAUACCUUGCUGUUUUGACGUUACCGACAGAAUAAGCACCGGCUAACUUCGUGCCAGCAGCCGCGGUAACAC